ACGUCACUGUGGCGCGCCGGUCGUGGGAGGGGCCCUGUCGCGACUGCGUCCGCUCAGGUCCUUGAGCCGGUGCUGACAGCGGAGCCAUGGCCUUGAGGCUGCUGAGACUGGUCCCCGUGUCCGCGACCUCUCGGGGCCUCGCGGCGGUCGUCCAGCGCGUGGGAGGAAUUCACACAAGUGUCCAGUGCAAGCUGCAGUACGGCCCGCUGGCGUACCUGCUUGGUGAAAGAACGACCAAAAAGCUGACGGGAAAGAGCAAAGUGAUAACUGUGGAUGGCAACAUAUGUUCGGGGAAAGGCAGGCUUGCAAAAGAAAUAGCAGAGAAGCUAGGCCUGAAGCACUUUCCCGAGGCAGGGAUCCAUUAUGCAGCCAGCACCACUGGGGAUGGGAAACCCCUGGACAUACAGCUCAGCAGCAACUGCAGUUUGGAGAAGUUUUACGAUGACCCGAAAAGUAAUGACGGCAACAGCUACCGCCUGCAGUCCUGGUUGUACGCCAGUCGCCUCCUGCAGUAUGCGGACGCCUUGGAGCACCUACUGAGCACAGGGCAGGGUGUGGUGCUGGAGCGCUCCGUCUACAGUGACUUUGUCUUUGUGGAGGCGAUGUACCGACAGGGCUUCAUCCGGAAGGAGUGUGUGGACCACUACAACGAGGUGAAGAAGGUCACCAUUUGCGAGUACCUGCCCCCUCACGUGGUCAUCUACGUCGACGUGCCCGUUCCCGAGAUCCAGAGCCGGAUCCAGAAGAAGGGAAACCCACAUGAGAUGAAGAUCACCUCCGCCUACCUUCAGGGCAUCGAGAAUGCCUAUAAGAGGACCUUCCUUCCCGAGAUGAGUGAAAACUGUGAGGUUUUACAGUACAGUGCAAGGGAAGCUGAAGAUGCAGAAAAGGUGAUCGAGGAUAUUGAGUAUCUGAAGUACGAGAAAGGCCCGUGGCUGGACCAGGACGACCGCACUUUCCACAGUCUGAGGAUGCGGGUUCAGAACAAGUUGGAGGUGCUGAAUUACACAACCAUUCCUGUCUACCUCCCAGAGGUCACCAUCGGCUCUCACCAGAGCGACCGGGUCUUUCACGAGUUCAAGGAGGUUGUGUUUAUCUCUAUCUCUGUAAGCAAGGAGGAUUGAGCCAAAUGACCCCAGAGAAGUUGAAUGGUACCCAGAACAGGCAGGACCCUCGUAGCCAGCUGCCGGGCCGCAGGUACAGCCCUGGGUACAACGAGGACGUGGGGGACAGAUGGAUCUGGCUGAAGUGACGGCCGCCUCCGUGGAAGCUGCCUCGCGAGGAUGGAGGUGCACCCAGGCCGCCUGACUCCCCUGGACUCCACGUAGCUUAACAUCGGGGGUGGGAGUGAAUGAUUCUGAAGUUGCACAGUGGAAGAAACGGCCCAGCAAACAGCAGUCUGCCCUGCAGUGUACUUACGGGAGUGGAAGGAGGCACCCCCAUUUAAAGGGGGGCCCUCCAGCUUGAUUCUGGGACGAUGAUCACUGGGGAGAAACAGUCUGCUGUGAAAGAGCAGGUGUCACUUGGAGAAUCUCAUUUCGUCACAGUCAUGCUCUGUGUCAGGCAGGUUUUGUACACUGUGUGUUCAGACUUCAAGAAAUAAAACCGUUCCUGUGGCA